ACAAAGUGAUUGACUGGUUAAGAUAAAAACAAUGUCGUAUUGUUGAUUAGGUAAAAGCGUCACAGGCUUUGAGAGAAAAAUUUCAGUGACAUUGUUUUCAAACUUUUUGUCAUGCAAAGUUGUUUUUAUUUCUCCCAAUAUUUCACUGCCAUAUCUAAUGGUAGCUUGGAUGGAGCAAGGGUUUGUGAUUUGUUUACAGCCAAAUGUUACGAAGCCAC
rnacentral:lncRNA from 1 species